UCCCUGGUGGCUCAGAUGGUAAAGCGUCUGCCUGCAAUGCGGGAGACCUGGGUUUAAUCCCUGGGUCGGGAA
rnacentral:tRNA from 1 species